GUCUACAGCCACGCCACCCUGAACAAGCCCGAUCCCGUCUGAUCUCAGAAGCUAAGCAGGGUCGGGCCUGGUUAGUACUUGGAUGGGAGACCACCUAGGAAGACCAGGUGCUGGAGGCG
rnacentral:rRNA from 1 species